GUUCGGUAAGAAUAUUUUGUGUC
rnacentral:snRNA from 1 species